UCAAACUUGGUCAUUUAGAGGAAGUAAAAGUCGUAACAAGGUUUCCGUAGGUGAACCUGCGGAAGGAUCAUUAGAAAAUAACCGGCCUAGCCGGUAAUAAAUUCUAUCUACCUUGUGUGCAAACAAUGAAAAAAAGAGAGAAUUGGGUACUUUUGUAUCCAACCUCUCUAAAGUUUUCUAUAAACUCCAUCAAAUUUUGAAAUGAAAACUAUUUUUUAAUAAAAAUAUUAUACAACUUUCAACAACGGAUCUCUUGGCUCUCGCAUCGAUGAAGAACGCAGC
rnacentral:misc_RNA from 1 species